rnacentral:lncRNA from 1 species
UCAUGUAAUGAUAUUUAUUCUAAUAUUAAUAAAAUAAGGCAUUAUGAUUUAUCAUUUCAGUUGCAUCUUUCUAUGUUAAAUAUUAUGAUGAACCCCAAAGAUUAGGAUAAUGCUUUUGGAGGACAUGAAUAGAUCAUACCUGUGAGACCUAAAAUCUUAAAACCUUAAUCUUAAACAUUUCUGAUCAUGAAAAUAUUGAGUUGAAGAUCAAUAUUUUGAAUAGACUGGCACUCCUAUGUAUGUUNNNN